UUCGCGGUUGAUGGCGACGUCGAGCACCUUGUCGAGGCGCGCCUGCAUGCCGAUGAAGGAGGCCGCGUUCUGCUCGUGGCUGCGCUUCCA
rnacentral:tRNA from 1 species